UAAGGAAUAUUGGUCAAUGGACGCAAGUCUGAACCAGCCAUGCCGCGUGGAGGAUGAAGGUCCUCUGGAUUGUAAACUUCUUUUAUCUGGGACGAAACACUUCUUUUCUAAGAGGCCUGACGGUACCAGAUGAAUAAGCACCGGCUAACUCCGUGCCAGCAGCCGCGGUAAUACGAAGGGUGCAAGCGUUAAUCGGAAUUACUGGGCGUAAAGCGCGCGUAGGUGGUUUGGUAAGAUGGAUGUGAAAUCCCCGGGCUCAACCUGGGAACUGCAUCCAUAACUGCCUGACUAGAGUACGGUAGAGGGGGGUGGAAUUUCGUGUGUAGCGGUGAAAUGCGUAGAUAUAGGAAGGAACACCAGUGGCGAAGGCGACCACCUGGACUGAUACUGACACUGAGGUGCGAAAGCGUGGGGAGCAAACA
rnacentral:rRNA from 1 species